GGAAGCUGCAGGUUUGUCAGUAGUUUUAACAGUGCGAUACAUCUGCAAAUGACUUUUGACAUGAGCUAGAGUGAGAUCUUUGACAUCCAUUAGCUCCAAUACUGAUUUUGGAGUAGCCCUUUCAUGUCCACCAAGAAGCUCAACAGCAUGAACAAAUCUAGCAUGAAGUGUACUAGUCCAUCUCAUUCUUGGUGCUCUCAUACUUCUUUUAGCUGGGAGUUUAGGUAAAAAUCUUGAUCUCAUCAAACUAUGAGAAUUUGCAAUAUUUUCAUGAUGAGAAUUAUGUAUUAAAUGACCAUAUUGACUAUGAUGAUGAUGAUGAUAUUGAAGAGGAUGAUGAUGUGGCACGUGAUGAUAAGACGAGGAUGAUAUCCCAUUAAACCUAUUAUUAAAAUAAGGCGAAGGCGAAGAAGGAGAAGGAGAAGAAGGAGGAGGAGGAGAUGAUGAUGGGUAAAAACACAUCUUUGGAUCUUUCUCCUUGUCUAUAUUUGUUGCCAAAAAAGGAAAUGAACGGUUGUGAUUGUACACGGGGAUACCCUUGAUAGGGCGUAAACCGUCAGAUACAUCUAAAGAUGAAACCCCAUGAUUUAUUUGGUUCAUUGGUUGAACCAAAUGACUAUAAUUUUGACUCUGG
rnacentral:misc_RNA from 1 species